UAGGGAAUCUUCCACAAUGGACGCGAGUCUGAUGGAGCAACGCCGCGUGAGUGAAGAAGGUUUUCGGAUCGUAAAGCUCUGUUGUUGGUGAAGAAGGAUAGAGGCAGUAACUGGUCUUUAUUUGACGGUAAUCAACCAGAAAGUCACGGCUAACUACGUGCCAG
rnacentral:rRNA from 1 species